CAUCUUUUCUUGUUAGUUUUUGAAGUAUAGCCUGCCCGCUGACGUAUUUUGAGUUGAAGGGCCGCGGUAUUUUGACCGUGCAAAGGUAGCAUAGUCAUUAGUUCUUUAAUUGUGAUCUGGUAUGAAUGGCUUGACGAGACAUGGGCUGUCUUAGUGUGAAUUUAUUGUUGAAUUUGGAGUUUAAGUUAAAAUUCUUAGAUGUUUUUAUGGGACGAGAAGACCCUAUAGAGUUUGACAUUUGAUUGUGCAUUUCUUAUUGUUUGUUUUAGGUUUUUGUGUUUCUUUUGUUUUGUUGGGGUGAUGGGAGGAAUUUAUUUAACUCCUCUUUUUGUGUGAUAUAUUGAUUUGUAUUUGUUUUGAUCCAUUUAUUUUGAUUGUAAGAUUAAAUUACCUUAGGGAUAACAGCGUUAUCUUCCCUGAGAGUUCUUAUUGGCGGGGGGGUUUGCGACCUCGAUGUUGGAUUAAGGUUAAUUUUUGGUGUAGGAGCUGAAUUGAUUAGGUCUGUUCGACCUUUAAAAUCUUACGUGAUCU
rnacentral:rRNA from 1 species